rnacentral:misc_RNA from 1 species
CUUAUAUAUAUGUAUUAUGGAUGUGGAAAUCUUAAGGUAAGUAUGGCAUGAGAAAUUCGCUUACUCCCUUGGAUUUGGAUAUGGAUGGGCGAGGUAGAUACGUGCAUUAUAUUAUUGCUAACUCUUGCCACAUACUGGAUAGGUAUGGGCGUUAUAUUAUUACUGACUCUUAUAGCAUAGAAUAAGAGAAAUUGUUAGAUUUCAGGGAGUCAGGUAUGAGGUCGG